rnacentral:rRNA from 1 species
UUACGGCCAUAUUACAUUGAAACACUGGUUCUCAUGUGAUCACUGAAGUUAAGCAACAUUGAGCUUGGUCAGUAUCUAGAUGGGUGACUGCUUGGGAAUACCAGGUGAUGUAA